rnacentral:lncRNA from 1 species
GGGCACUAAAUUAAAAUUGGUUGGUUACUAGUUUAAUGAAUGAACCUUUCUAGCUAUCAUUUGACCAAAAAAAGUUAAAACAAACAGAUGAUGAUGAUCCAUAAUUGGAUAGGGUUAGCCAUUGGCUUGAGUGAGUGAGUCGAUCAGUCCACUACAACCAGAGAUUGAUAGGCUAGUGGGGAGAUUUCUGCUUCCAUGGUCUGUUCGGGAUCCCUUUCCAGGAUUUCCCCAUCAGUGUCCAAGAACCACUUGACCAACUUGUGGUUCUCGGAGUAGGAGGAGUCGAUCACAUCCAAAUACUCUAUAUGUGGUACCACAUCCCCGUACCCUUUUUCCUUGAACUUGCUCUGUAUUGCCUCAUAAUCACUCUCCCAUGGAUGUGCCCAAGCCUCGUCUUCCUUCUGCAACUCCCUCUGUAAUAUUCUCUUAACUUGAAGCCAUGAUAGUAGAUAAGAUGCUUGGAAAAUAUCUUAUUGCACCACUUAAGAUAACUAUAGUGAGAAUCUUCCCUUUACAUGUUCAAUGAAAUCCAAUGGGGGAUAUGAUUUUGGGCUACAAGUUCUCGGAUUUUCAUGUUCUCGGAUCUAAAGUUCAAUUUGAGAUUGUCCCACCCAUCAUGGAACCCGUUAAAAUGAGAAUCCUUCUCUCAUCGGUCUCUUGUUACAUAUUACAAUAUAAGUUGGUUCAAAUCGAAUUUUGGUUCGAUGGUUUAUAAAGUUGGAAGCCAAGCUAUUGAAUUGCCAAAACGACUCCAUUUUUUAUCAGGUUCGAUCCAAAAGUAUCAAACUCAAGAAGUCUGAGUUGGUGAAAAAUAUUCCCUUUGUCCAAAUAAAGGUUAAGACAACUUAUUCUUUUUCUACGAGAAUUGGAAGGAGAGUUGCAGAGGAGAAAAAUGACUUGCUUCAAUGAAGAAGACAGAUCUUGGCAAAAAUAAAAAAAUAAAAAAAAUAAAAAAAAAGAAACAAAUAUUGAGCUUAAUAGGGAGUUUUAAUUACAAUUAUGACAGUUAAUGAAAUGUUUGGAAUAAAUUAUAAAUUAAAUAUGAAAUCUGAUGGCAACAAUGUUUAAACAUAGGAAUACUAUGACCUUAAAGCAUCCACAAUGGGAUCCCUAAACCACCUCCUUAGACAAAUUUUAGGGAGGAAUCGUAGAAAUGCAACUCCAACCACGCUCCCUAUCC